CUCACCGCGGGUCAUGUGACAAGAACCAACCAGUCAGCUUUAUCCUUUCCCGUAACAACAUUGAAAGCUCAGCUGAGAUGGAGGAACAGCUGAUCAUAGCUGUACAGGGAUAGCCAUUUUAAAUAAAUUUAGUAGCAGAGCGCAAGCGAUUUUUAGUGCUGGAAAUCCAUUUAUCCUUUGCUGAAACUUCCGCGUCUUCAUGGAGAGCUCGGGUCUAGUUGCUUAGCAACGGCAGACGCCACGGGAGAGCAAGUAUAGCGUGCAAGCUACAGAGCGCUUUAAAAUAAGGAGAAAGCGACGCGCCUAGCGUUUUCCACGCGUUUUUAGGCGCGACAUGUGAACGGCCCCGUGCUACUAUUUGAAUCUUCUGCUUUUUGAACACUGAAGUGUGAUAAAGUUUUUUUUUAAGCCAUCAGAAAUCUGAGGGGGCCGGAUGUGUAGGCUAAAUGAGGGGGCCUAGAAUGAAGUCAUUAUUUUCGUUUUCUUUGCGCACAAAAAAAAGUAUUCUUGUAGCUUCAUAAAAUUACUCCACAGAUCUCACAUGGGCUGUUUUAAUGAUGUCCUUACUACAUUUCUGUGCCUUGACCGUGGUAGGACCCUUGCUGUCUAUGGAGGGUCAGAAUCAGAAAGCUCUCGGAUUUCAUCAAAAUAUCUUCAUUUGUGUUCCAAAGAUGAACGAAGGUUUUACGGGUUUGGAACGACAUGAGGGUUAUCUCAUCCACACAGCCUUGAGUGCUGUCGCUAUCAAACUCAGCGGCGUGAUUGUCACAACCUUCCUCGUCAGGCGCCGGAGAAAGAGCUCGGUUCAGUGUAGGGACGGUGUUAAACAUGAUGAAACCGAUGAGGAUCACCACCAAUGACACAAUAUACAGUCCUGAGAACUGAAAAAGAACAAAUGAGUGUACCGGAACAAAAAGAGCCCACAAAACAGGCUGAAGAGGUCUCCAGUGAGUAAGGAAAGAUUGACCGCUGUGGCACUGCUCAUCUUUAUCACCACAGGCAUGAAGCUAUAGAAGCCGUACAUGCAGAGC